UUUCAAAAUCAGCUAUUCGUCUACCUUCGCCAAAAUUGGCCAAAAUUUAUUUUUCUAAAUUAAUUACGAAAUUACAAACCUCUGCAAGUUUAAUAUAAAAUGAAAACGGUUCAAGGUUUAAGUUCAAACUCACUGGAUGGUGAAUCAUGAAUUAAACAACGAUUACCUUUAAACUAAAACAAUGUGAGCUAGUAAAAGUUUCGCUAAAAUCAAAACUUCUCAAGAAUACAGACUGAAUUUUACCCAUUCAAGAUUUAGUAGGAAUGUAAAUUAAUUUGAACUAAAAUGGAGGAAGCAAAAUUUGGAGCAUCAAUUGAUAAUAUCUACCCUGCUCUUUUACAAUGUUUUGCAGUUAUAUUAUGCGGGUAUUUAGCUGGCCGAAUGAAUCUCGUCUCAGAAACAGAAGCCAAAGGAAUGAACACUUUCGUAGGGACCUUUUCUCUACCUUCCUUGAUAUUUAUGUCGCUGGCUGAGUUAGAUUUAAGUUCAGUAAACUGGAUGUUCCUUUUAUCUAUAUUAAUAUCAAAAAGUAUAAUUUUUUUCUCUGUGAUAAUUGUAACAGUACUAGUAGGGAGACCAUUGAAUCUGGGAAGAGCUGGAAUAUUUGCCAUAUUUUGCACACAAA